GACAGAGGGUGCAAACGUUGUUCGGAAUUACUGGGCGUAAAGCGCGUGUAGGCGGCUACGCAGGUCGGAUGUGAAAUCCCAUGGCUCAACCAUGGAAGUGCACCCGAAACCGCGCAGCUUGAGUCUCGGAGAGGAAGGCGGAAUGCUUGGUGUAGAGGUGAAAUUCGUAGAUAUCAAGCGGAACACCGGUGGCGAAGGCGGCCUUCUGGACGAUGACUGACGCUGAGACGCGAAAGCGUGGGGAGCAAACAGG
rnacentral:rRNA from 1 species